AUUCCAUGUACACUCUACACCAACGUAAUUUGUGUAAAGUGUCAGGAAAAGUUUCAUGUACACUCUACAUCUAAAGGUGGUAUCAAGUAACAAAAUGGAAAGAAAAUAUCUAAUUUUUUUUUUAAUUUUCCCCCCUCACUGGUACCCUUCUCCUAUUUUAAUUGGUUCGUAAAUCAUCCUUGUUUCCCAGUGUCUUGAAAUACAAGAUCACGUGAUUUCUUUGUGCCCCAACAAGAUGCCUCUUCAAACGUACGAGACUUGGUAAGUUAAAAUCAAUUAGCACAAAGCAUUAUAACUGUAUUUUGAUUUUUAGAUCCGCUGAUUUUAUAUAUAAUGAUUUAUUAUCUUUUUGCAGUAAAUGAAAUUCUAACCGAAUAUUCCAAACGAAUGUAUACCUACCGCGAAAUGAGCAGUUUACUAAAAAAUAAGAUAUCAAAUUAAGCGAAAAUGCAAUUAGGAAAAGGCUUAAAAGACUGGGCGAGCCCAGAAGAAGAGGUCCAACUGCCCAUUUAGUUUCGGACGUGAAAAACAUUGUAAAGUCCACUUCGCAAGAUUAUCCAAAAACCGUUGGCUACCGAUUUUUAACUGGUGUUUUACAUCGCGAAGGAAUACAUGUCCGCAGAUAUUUAUUUCAUUAUUUUAAGUCUUAAAUACUAGAAAACAGACUACUUUAGAGUAUUUUGAAGAUAUUUGUUGAAAUUUUCAAUUUAAAAUUAAUUAUGUUGAAUGAAUAUCACUAUUGGGAUACAUAUUACUUCAUUUCAAUCUAUGAUGAACAAAAUGAUAACUACAGUGUAUAGAAAUCUUGUGG